ensembl:lncRNA
CGAGCUGGCCUGCAGAAGAGCAUUUCAGGCAGAAGGACACAAAAUGCAAGGAUCCCAGAUGAGGAUGUGUUCAGUGCGUGAGAGAAACAUCAAGUUCAUGGGGCCGGAGAAUUUUUGUGAUGAGAAGAUGUGAUCAAGAGACAUCAGUCCAGGAUCUAAACCAUGGUGGAAAUGAAGAGCAGAACAUAGUGACACAUGCUGGCCUUGUCCUGAAACCUGAUGUCCACUACUCCCACUGCUCUGAAAGAGAGAAGAUUUAAAGUCACCUUUGAUGCUCCAAGAGUAGAUCAUAGGUAUCCCAGGCCUCUGCAGGGCCUGGAAGUAGCUUGUCCUACCCUUAGAGAGCUUUUCUAACUGACUUUUUCUGACAGUGAUUUGUCAGAUGUGUAGUGAAUUCUGCAAGUCCGGGCCCCAAAGAAGUAAAAGAGUAAUUGAAGUGGAUUAACUGAUGGUCAACUUGUAACGCCCAGCUGAACUGAAUCAGCAUGGUCUGGGCGUGGAAGAUCCAUCUGAGGAUUGUUGUCAACAGCCACAAAAAGAGAACUGGAG